AUUACCCUGAGAUUUCGCGUUUAAAAGUCUUUUUUUUACCAACACUUCUUAAAAGGGAUAUUAUCUCCGUUUAUGGCGUAUACGCCUCCGUUCCUUCGGGAAUGCCAGUGGACAUAUAAAGUAAACGGGAUUUAGCCCACCUGCAUGAGCAGGUAGAAACUCGACUUUAACUGACGGUUAUUUUGGGGUUUUU
rnacentral:other from 7 species